UACGUAGGUGACCAGCGUUGUCCGGAUUUACUGGGCGUAAAGAGCGCGCAGGCGGUCGUUCAAGUCGAGUGUGAAAGCCCCCGGCUCAACUGGGGAGGGUCACUCGAUACUGAUCGACUGGAAGGCAGGAGAGGGAAGCGGAAUUCCCGGUGUAGAGGUGAAAUUCGUAGAUAUCGGGAGGAACACCGGUGGCGAAGGCGGCGACCUGGGUCGAUACUGACGCUGAGGCGCGAAAGCUGGGGGAGCAAACAGG
rnacentral:rRNA from 1 species